UUGUUAAAGGUUUACCGCCUUGGGAUACGGCUUGCGUCUGAUUAGCUAGUUGGUGUGGUAACGGCACACCAAGGCUACGAUCAGUAACUGGUCUGAGAGGAUGAUCAGUCACACUGGAACUGAGACACGGUCCAGACUCCUACGGGAGGCAGCAGUGAGGAAUAUUGGGCAAUGCUCGAAAGAGUGACCCAGCAACGCCGCGUGGAGGAUGAAGGUAUUCUAUAUCGUAAACUCCUGUGAGAGCAGACGAAAGACAGAUUAUUAAUCUGGAUGGCUGUAUGCUCAGAGGAAGCCCCGGCUAACUACGUG
rnacentral:rRNA from 1 species